GUCGGUGACUUAUCACAACCUUGGAGCCGGCUUAACUCCAGAAAAAGUGCGAAUGGGCAGAGCACCAAGGUGUCUGCCCCAUGAAUGAGGCUGGAUGAGCAAAGGUGUCGUCACGCGAACCAGACUGAGCAGGAGAAGGGCUCUGACCAUGGCAGGACCUCGGAAGCUGCAGCCUCCUCCCUCUGCGGCACACCUGAAGUACCUGUCCUGAAAUCAAUGGGCCUAUGCAGAACCAAUCCUGGGGUAAAUGACAGAAGAUUCUUUAAGGUGAAUCACUUUGUGGCUACUGAGAUGAAAAUAACCCUGUCUGUGCUUGUACCUUUCUGUUUUUUCCUUGCAUUCGUUGAUACGUGUUUUAACAUUGGUUCAGAUUUACUUAGAAAUAUUUUCAUACUUCCUUUCAAGAGUGGCUGGAGAAGAUGUUAUAUGGAAAGUCUCAUUCGAUCUGAAUUAAAGAUUUUAUUUUUUUAUAUAAUUUUCUUGGAGAAAACAAAAAAAACCCUGGUUUCAUUCCACUCAAAAUUAUUUUCCCAUUUUCUCAAAAUUGAAGAAAACAAAUCCCUUAAUUUCUCAGCUCUCAUCAACAUCCCCCCCGAGGCUUAG
rnacentral:lncRNA from 1 species